AGAUACCAGGGUCAAAAGGUAUAAAUCCACAUGAGCUUGCUCAUAGGUGGGUGAAAGACCUUGGGACCCGCCCCGAUAUGAGCAUAAAAGUGGGAUGAUAAUCCCACGAUAUGCGAAUAUUGGGGAGAAGUGUCAAUAUAUAUAAGUUGUUU
rnacentral:ncRNA from 2 species